ACAAUGCCACAUUCACUUUUCUCGGAGUAAAUUAUGAGAGAAAGAUUCCAUGACUGGAUUAAGAUAGAACUGAGUUAUACUUUGUUUUAUUAACCGAUUGUAUAUUUUCCAUAAACGUACAUGUACUUUAUAGUGAAGAGUUACAGUAAUUUCUUAUUAACAUUAUCUAAGACUUAUAUAACCUUAGAUCAUUAAUCUCUGUAUGAAUUUAGAUUGGUUAUCGUUUGCUGGUAUAUACAUAUACUCUGUUGUAUAGUGUUUAGUCCUUAAUAAUCAAAUAAUUAACCCAGAGUAAUACAUAGUGAUGGUUAAAAUAUGUCUGACGUCAUUGUGCCGAGUAUAGGUAAAAAUGCAGCCUCCCCCUAUAUUUUUUUUCUACUGCAUGGAAGAGUAUGUACAUAUGUUGAAGGCAAUUAUCUGAGCCAUGGUUUAGAUGUAAUUAGAUGUAAUUAGGGAAAAUUGAUAAUCUUUAAAAUGGACAGUAGUUAGUGGGAUAUUUUAAUACUGUUUCAUAUAAUGUUUUUAUUAUUAUAGGGAAAUAAAUUAUAUCAUUAUAAAUGAAGAAUUUAACUAUUUUUAAAAGCUGUAUAAAUUUAUUAGUCAAGGAAAUUGAUGAAGUGACCCUAUAAGGCAUUAAUGUAAAUAAAAUUCAAA
rnacentral:sRNA from 1 species